AGUGAACGCUGGCGGUAGGCCUAACACAUGCAAGUCGAACGGCAGCACAGUAAGAGCUUGCUCUUACGGGUGGCGAGUGGCGGACGGGCGAGGAAUACAUCGGAAUCUACUUUUUCGUGGGGGAUAACGUAGGGAAACUUACGCUAGUACCGCAUACGACCUACGGGUGAAAGCAGGGGAUCUUCGGACCUUGCGCGAUUGAAUGAGCCGAUGUCGGAUUAGCUAGUUGGCGGGGUAAAGGCCCACCAAGGCGACGAUCCGUAGCUGGUCUGAGAGGAUGAUCAGCCACACUGGAACUGAGACACGGCCCAGACUCCUACGGGAGGCAGCAGUGGGGAAUAUUGGACAAUGGGCGCAAGCCUGAUCCAGCCAUACCGCGUGGGUGAAGAAGGCCUUCGGGUUGUAAAGCCCUUUUGUUGGGAAAGAAAAGCAGCAGGUUAAUACCCCGCUGUUCUGACGGUACCCAAAGAAUAAGCACCGGCUAACUUCGUG
rnacentral:rRNA from 1 species